CCGCGUCCGACCUCAACCGCCGCCCGAAACCCUAGCCCCUCCUUCCAACGGCAGGUCAAGCCAGCAGGAUCCCCUCCAAGAACAGCAUUUGAUGCGCCCGACUCAUCUCUGCUUGUGCACAACAAGGAAGGCCAUGGAGACGCUGCUCCCUAUGUUCAGUGCAUGGACGGACGAUGCAGCGUUGGGGAUGACUCAUGGCUGCCUCCGUUUGUGCAGAUUGGGUACUCUGGAGCACAUGGGAGGAGGAGAAGGAUGGGAGGUGUGCAGAAUUCGGCGCCAAGGGAGACGAUCGAGAUGGUGGAGCAGAAUCCAGAGGACGAC